rnacentral:miRNA from 1 species
UGUAGAUACUCUCUAAGGCUU